AGUAGAGUGGCGGACGGGUGAGUAACGCGUGGGAAUCUACCCAGUAGUGGGGGACAACUACCGGAAACGGUAGCUAAUACCGCAUACGCCCUAUGGGGGAAAGGCUUCGGCCGCUAUUGGAUGAGCCCGCGUCAGAUUAGCUAGUUGGUAGGGUAAAGGCCUACCAAGGCAACGAUCUGUAGCUGGUCUGAGAGGACGAACAGCCACACUGGGACUGAGACACGGCCCAGACUCCUACGGGAGGCAGCAGUGGGGAAUAUUGGACAAUGGGCGAAAGCCUGGUCCAGCAAUGCCGCGUGUGUGAAGAAGGCCUGCGGGUUGUAAAGCACUUUCAGUUGGGAAGAUGAUGACGUUACCAACAGAAGAAGCACCGGCUAAAUCCGUGCCAGCAGCCGCGGUAAUACGGAUGGUGCGAGCGUUAAUCGGAAUUACUGGGCGUAAAGCGCGCGUAGGCGGCUAAGUCAGUCAGAAGUGAAAGCCCCGGGCUCAACCUGGGAAUUGCUUUUGAUACUGCUUAGCUAGAGUUUGGUAGAGGAUAGUGGAAUUCCAGGUGUAGCGGUGAAAUGCGUAGAUAUCUGGAGGAACAUCAGUGGCGAAGGCGACUGUCUGGACCAAAACUGACGCUGAGGUGCGAAAGCGUGGGUAGCAAACAGGAUUAGAUACCCUGGUAG
rnacentral:rRNA from 1 species